GGUGGCUCAGCGGUAGAGUGCAUGCAUUGCAAGCAUGAGGCCCUGGGUUUGAUUCCUCAGCACCA
rnacentral:tRNA from 1 species